GUGUGAAGAAGGCCUUCGGGUUGUAAAGCUCUUUCACUAGGGAGGAAGGUUUUGGGCUAAUACCCUGAAGUACUUGACGUUACCUACCCAAGAACCACCGGCUAAUUUCGGGCCAGCACCCGCGGUAAUACUAAAGGUGCGAGCGUUAAUCGAAAUUACUGGGAGUAAAGCGCGCGAAAGCGGGGUGUUAAAUCGGAUGUGAAACCCCAGGGCUCAACCUUGUAAUUGCAUCCGAUACUGGCGCGCUUCAGUGCGGAAAAGGGAGGUGGAAUUUCCGGUGUAGCAAUGAAAUGGGUAAAGAUCGGAAGGAACACCAGUGCCGAAGGCGGCCUCCUGAACUGACACUGACACUGAGGUGCAAAAGCCUGGGGAGCAAACAGGAUUAAAUACCCUGGUAGUCCACCCCGUAAACUAUGUCUACUAGCCGUUGGGGUCCUUAUUGACUUUGGUGGCGCAGCUAACGCGAUAAGUAUACCGCCUGGGGAGUACGGCCGCAAGGUUAAAACUCAAAUGAAUUGAGGGGGGCCCGCACAAGCGGUGGAGCAUGUGGUUUAAUUCGAUGCCACCCUAAGAACCUUACCAAGCCUUGACAUCCUGCGAACUUUCUAGAGAUAGAUUGCUGCCUUCGGGAGCGCAGUGACAGGUGCUGCAUGGCUGUCGUCAGCUCGUGUCGUGAGAUGUUGGGUUAAGUCCCGUAACG
rnacentral:rRNA from 1 species